rnacentral:lncRNA from 1 species
CGGAAGUUCGGCGGCCUUCGCCAAAGAGUGUGGGCUCGGCUAGCAAGCUAGAGGGGCUCGUUUCCGCCCCGCUACCGGGCGGGGGCGGCCAUCUUAGAUGCGUGCAAUUAAGGGCUUUGGCGGGAUUGGCUCCGCGUUUGGGCUGGUCCGCUGCUCCCCACCUACCAGGGUCGGAUCCGGAGCCCUUCCCCGCGGGGCGGGGACCUCCAAACAACCGACUCCUUUCCAGGUGAAGGGUGACUUGGCUGAAGAAACACUUAAAUUCUGGAAAUAGCGACUCAGUAUCAUGGCCAGCAGCCUUAAUGAAGAUCCAGAAGGAAGCAGAGUGCGUAACAACUAUUGACUUAUUGGUGAACUGAAAUUCGUAAUAAUGGAGGUCAAAAGCAUAAACACUUUUUAAUUAAAUUAAUGAUUGCAUUAUC